rnacentral:rRNA from 2 species
GGUUCCGUAUGGAAGGGCCAUCGCUCAACGGAUAAAAGCUACCCUGGGGAUAACAGGCUUAUCUCCCCCAAGAGUUCACAUCGACGGGGAGGUUUGGCACCUCGAUGUCGGCUCAUCGCAUCCUGGGGCUGUAGUCGGUCCCAAGGGUUGGGCUGUUCGCCCAUUAAAGCGGUACGCGAGCUGGGUUCAGAACGUCGUGAGACAGUUCGGUCCCUAUCCGUCGCGGGCGUAGGAAAUUUGAGAGGAUCUGUCCUUAGUACGAGAGGACCGGGAUGGACAUACCGCUGGUGUACCAGUUGUUCCGCCAGGAGCAUCGCUGGGUAGCUAAGUAUGGAUGAGAUAAACGCUGAAAGCAUCUAAGUGCGAAACUCACCUCGAGAUAAGAUUUCCCAUUACGUAAGUAAGUAAGAUCCCUGAAAGAUGAUCAGGUAGAUAGGAUGGAAGUGGAAGUGCUGCGAGGCAUGGAGCGGACCAUUACUAAUCGAUCGAGGACUUAACCAAG